UGUUGUUUGAUCCUGGCUCAGGAUAAACGCUGGCUGUGUGCCUAAUACAUGCAUGGCUGAGCGAGAACGUUCGGUUCUAGCGGCGAAUGGGUGAGUAACACGUACUUAAUCUACCCUUUAGAUUGGAAUACCCAAUGGAAACAUUGGCUAAUGCCGGAUACGCAGGAAAUCGCAUGAUUACUUUGUGAAAGGGGCCUUUAAAGCCCCACUAAAGGAUGAGGGUGCGGAACAUUAGUUAGUUGGUAGGGUAAUGGCCUACCAAGACUAUGAUGUUUAGCCGGGUCGAGAGACUGAACGGCCACAUUGGGACUGAGAUACGGCCCAAACUCCUACGGGAGGCAGCAGUAGGGAAUAUUCCACAAUGGGCGAAAGCCUGAUGGAGCGACACAGCGUGCACGAGGACGGUCUUCGGAUUGUAAAGUGCUGUUAUAGGGGAAGAACACCUAAUUGAGGAAAUGCUUUUAGGCUGACGGUACCCUGUCAGAAAGCGAUGGCUAACUAUGAUGCGCAGCAGCCGCGGUAAUAACAUAGGUAAACUCAGCCGCGGUAUACAUAGGUAACAU
rnacentral:rRNA from 1 species